UAUCAGAGUACAUAAAGACCUCAGAAUAUUCACAUUCAGCUAAAACUAUUCAUCAUGUUCACUGUUAUAUUUGUAUCUCUGUGGCUUUCACUAGGUGAUUCCAUGGCAGAUUCAAUAGAACCACGUUUCACUUAUAAAGAUGUAGAUGAAGGUGAUGAUGUUACUCUGUCCUGCAAAUACCAAACAAGUUAUACAGGAACCAUCUACCUGCACUGGUACAGGCAAUAUCCAACAUCUAACCCUGAGUUCCUUCUUUAUAUUGAUAAAAGUGGGUUUAAAAGUGACCCAAUCCCACCACGUCUGAAUGCUAAUGUUGAUAAAAACAUACAACAAGUGGAUCUGAUCAUCUCCUCUGCUGCUGUAUCAGACUCUGCACUAUACUACUGUGCUCUGCAG